rnacentral:misc_RNA from 1 species
ACGCGCCAGGUCCGUUCUCACAAUCUUACCCUUAGUUCUGUUCCUCGUCCAGCCACGCUGCGCCUUCCUAUCCCCACUCAUAUCCAAUUCACCAACCAUUACCCACCCCCGAAACGACACACACACACACACACACACACACAAACGCAAACCUGUCUGCCACCGCCAUGCAGAGCAACUACCCGAAGCAGAACUGCGGGUGCGACUUCUGCUGCAGCCGCCGCUCCGUGAACGCGAAGAAGCUGGCGGCGAGCCAGGCAGCUUUCCAGCGAAGCGGCAUGAUGCAGCGCAACGGCUGCAACUGCUGCUGCCACAGCAGUGGGCCGGGCGGUGUCUCGCCCUUUGACCCCGACUACCCGGUGCCGGUCAACCAGACAGCCCUCAACGCUUCUCGCGGCCGCAACGGCGUACCUGAAGGAAACCAGUACACGAUUCGGAACAACUCCACGCGUGCGGCGGUGCCUGGCGCCUCGCAGACGGCCGGCGGAAACGGCUCGAUGAAGGAGACGGCGGAGCAGCGCGAGGCUCGCGAAGCAGCCGAGCUAGAUGCGCUGGAGCGCCUUCUCAUGCUGGAGUACAAGGCCCGGACGCAGGCGACGAUGGAGGCGGAGCGACUCAAGCGGAACGCCACGAGCGCGACUACUCGUGGCCCGAAGCCUGUGCCGGAAGGCUACACGAGUGGCUCGACAGCUGACAGGAUGGAGUACUCAGCCUCUGGUGCGGAGGGCCGCGGCAGAACAGCUGCCGGCGAGGGCAGCUUCGCUCCGGAUGCUUUUACGAUCCACGAGGCGUACGCGAUGGCGCACGAUUGCCCUGCAGAGCCGCCGGCGCAGUGCCAUGCUUCUCACCGCCUACAGGACACGCUGGAUGACGUGCGCAAGGUGACCGCGGACCCCGUCCACACCGGUAACCGCCGCGCACUGAAGCAGCUGCUGCAUCGGCAUGGUAUGGCUGAAGCGCCGACCAGCGACAACGGUGCUGCCACCGGCAAGGCCGCCAGCGGGACAGAGCCGAAUGCGUUCGGCUCGUCGCUGGCGCAGAUCCGCACGAGCUACGCGCACCCCCGCGGCGCCGGCCUUGUGUGGGUGCCAACGGCGCCGUCGGCUGCCGCGUCUCAGUCUUCCAUGAAGGACUCGGAUGUGGUGGUGGUGGAGCGCAGCGCUGCUGCCGGCGCUGGCAGCGCAAAGCGUCCUGCAGGGCUCUCGCCUGGCGCCGCAGCUGCUUUGGCCGCCGAUGAGAAGCAGGCGAGCUGCGCCGCAUGCCACUGAGACUGAGCUUCUCUUGUUUCCUUGCUCUCUGCCCACUGUGCGUGAUGAUGCGCGUAUGUAUUAUUUCUCCUCCCGUUCCCACGUGCUUUUUCUCCGACCUCUGCCGCAGGGCGUAUCGUCUUCCUCUCAGUGAGCGAGUUUUUAGAUCUACGCAAAGUAAAGCACGCGCACACGAACAGACACACGCACUGCUCUUCACCCCCUUCUCCUCUUGAUUUUUUUUUUUGCCUUGCUUCGCCCCUUCUCCGUGGAGCUGGCGAAGCACAGAAGCACGCACGGUUGUGCGUGCGUGCGUACGGUCCUUUGUAUGGCGAUGCUCGUUCAUGUACCGCAUUCGAUUUUUUUUUUGUUCACGCUUUUCUCCCGUGUUUAUCCCACCGCACUAUCGAAGGCGAAGGGGAAGGGGGCGUGUAUGUUUUCGCUUGCGUUCUUGAUGUACAUUGCACGCGGUGCUCUUCUUUCUCGGUCGCGUCUUGAUCACCGUCUCGUGUGUAUUGCGAGUCACUAG